UCUGCUGUCAAAGCCUGGGGCUUAACCUCGGAUAGGCAGUGGAAACUGAGUAGCUAGAGUGCGGUAGGGGUAGAGGGAAUUCCCAGUGUAGCGGUGAAAUGCGUAGAUAUUGGGAAGAACACCAGUGGCGAAGGCGCUCUACUGGACCGCAACUGACGCUGAGGGACGAAAGCUAGGGGAGCGAAAGGGAUUAGAUACCCCUGUAGUCCUAGCUGUAAACGAUGGACACUAGGUGUUGGCCGUAUCGACCCGGCCAGUACCGAAGCUAACGCGUUAAGUGUCCCGCCUGGGGAGUACGCACGCAAGUGUGAAACUCAAAGGAAUUGACGGGGGCCCGCACAAGCGGUGGAGGAUGUGGUUUAAUUCGAUGCAACGCGAAGAACCUUACCAGGGCUUGACAUCCCGCGAACCUUGCUGAAAGGCGAGGGUGCCUUCGGGAGCGCGGAGACAGGUGGUGCAUGGCUGUCGUCAGCUCGUGUCGUGAGAUGUUGGGUUAAGUCCCGCAACGAGCGCAACCCUUGUCCUUAGUUGCCAUCAUUAAGUUGGGCACUCUGAGGAGACUGCCGGGGACAACUCGGAGGAAGGUAGGGAUGACGUCAAGUCAUCAUGCCCCUUACGUCCUGGGCUACACACGUCCUACAAUGCUGCGGACAAAGGGCAGCCAGCCGGUGACGGCGAGCUAAUCCCAUAAACCGCGGCUCAGUUCAGAUUGCAGG
rnacentral:rRNA from 1 species